UACGGAGGGUGCGAGCGUUGUCCGGAAUCACUGGGCGUAAAGGGCGCGUAGGCGGCGCGGGGAGUCAACGGUGAAAGCUCGGCGCUCAACGCCGAGUCGGCCGUCGAUACUCCCGUGCUCGAGCACUGUAGAGGCAGGUGGAAUUCCGGGUGUAGCGGUGGAAUGCGUAGAGAUCCGGAAGAACACCGGUGGCGAAGGCGGCCUGCUGGGCAGUAGCUGACGCUGAGGCGCGACAGCG
rnacentral:rRNA from 1 species